ensembl:lncRNA
GAGAGAGUGUGUGAGAGGAGAGAGUGUGUGAGAGGAGAGAGUGUGUGAGAGGAGAGAGUGUGUGAGAGGAGAGAGUGUGUGAGAGGAGAGAGUGUGUGAGAGGAGAGAGAGUGUGAGAGGAGAGAGAGUGUGAGAGGAGAGAGUGUGUGAGAGGAGAGAGAGUGUGAGAGGAGAGAGAGAGAGUGUGAGAGGAGAGAGAGUCAGUGUGUGAGAGGAGAGAGAGUGUGAGAGGAGAGAGUGUGUGAGAGGAGAGAGAGAGUGUGAGAGGAGAGAGAGUGUGAGAGAGAGAAGAGAGUGUGUGAGAGGAGAGAGAGUGUGUGAGAGGAGAGAGAGUGGGUGUUAUGCCUCCCGAUGCACCAAGAGGAACAUGAGGUCCACAGCACACCAAGAGUUAACUAGGAAAUGGCUGUUUAAAGCAGCUGGUUUCCACAACGUGGUUUCCACAUCAUUUCAACCCACCUAAAAAUCCAUGAGAUGAUGAGGAUGCAACAACGAUGACAACUCGACCAAAUGUAAAUCAAAACUACAUGUUGAACUGACGGCUGAGUGGGGACUGACUGGAGCUGUUGGCAUGGUAACCACCCUUUCUC